GGGGGGAGAAGAGGGCUGGGCGCUUUCCCCGCAAUGCAUAGGGUUGCAGGUUCAAUCCCCCACCCCGCCCCUCCCAGCUCAACAUCUCUUGCUAAACUGGGGUGGGGUCUUCUUUGAAGCUGGGUCAGGCCCUUCACUGCCCAGGACCUAGGGUUGCCCAGGACCUUCAUUCUGGCAAAAUAUGGGGUGGGCUGGUUGCAGGGCAUGUUUGGUUUUUUUUGUUUUCAUCUGGUGACUCCGAAACAACCGAAAUUGCAACCUAGCAGCCUAACAGGAUGUGUCCCUCUGGAAUUUCCUGCACACAAACAUGCAUUGUUCCUCCAUCCUCUGAGGAGAUGGAUGCGUGCGAGGAAGUCAUGCCGGAGAACUGUGGGAAUGAGACCUCUCUGGCAGGUGAUGGACAGGAGAAUUGUAGAGAACCAUAUCGGGUGCCACCAGAAGCAGCUGUUCAUGAAUUGGGG